CCCUUAAAUAGCAUCGCUCCGCGUCGCAGCUCUGGGUACUGAAGAUUUGUGGAGCACAUCUGCAGCUUUCAGUGCCCUCUUACAGAACUUUGUGAUGAAGAACUGAGAAGACAAAGACAGAUCACCUGAGAAAUACUUCCCUAUUUUUGGAUCAGUGGUUGCCGUUUUGACUGAUUUUUGUACUUUCUUGAGGAAAUACUUUUCAGUUUACUACAACAAUUCCCGACCUGGGAGCUACUGAAUCAGAACACAUUAGUUGACCUGCUUCUUCGCAGCAUCAGUGGUUUAAAGAGAUCAUAUGCUGUAGUGACUACAGGAAUCUCCAAUUGACCUCAAAUGUGGAGAAGCUAGAAACAUACUUCCUCAAUUUAAGAAAAUUCUUGGAGACCCCAAGCAAGAAAUUUGUGCGUUUGGAUUACCCCAUAUUUCCCUAAGAUGACGGCAACUCUGGUCUUUUAAAUUAUCUGUAAGCCUUUGACUCUGCAGUUCUUUGGAAUGUGCAUAUGUGUA